CCUACGGGUGGCAGCAGUGGGGAAUAUUGCACAAUGGGGGGAACCCUGAUGCAGCGACGCCGCGUGAGUGAAGAAGUAUUUCGGUAUGUAAAGCUCUAUCAGCAGGGAAGAAAAAAGACGGUACCUGACUAAGAAGCCCCGGCUAACUACGUGCCAGCAGCCGCGGUAAUACGUAGGGGGCACGCGUUAUCCGGAUUUACUGGGUGUAAAGGGGGCGUAGACGGUGCGUCAAGUCUGAAGUGAAAGCCCGGGGGUUAACCCCGGGACUGCGUUGGAAACUGGCGCGCUAGAGUGCUGGAGAGGUGAGUGGAAGUCCGAGUGUAGCGGUGAAAUGCGUAGAUAUUAGGAGGAACACCAGUGGCGAAGGCGGCUUACUGGACAGUAACUGACGUUGAGGCUCGAAAGCGUGGGGAGCAAACAGGAUUAGAUACCCCAGUAGUC
rnacentral:rRNA from 1 species